AUGCACGCUGGCGGCGUGCCUAAUACCUGCAAGUCGCGCGAACAGACGAGGAGCUUGCUCCUCUGACGUUAGCGGCGGACGGGUGAGUAACACGUGGAUAACCUACCUAUAAGACUGGGAUAACUUCGGGAAACCGGAGCUAAUACCGGAUAAUAUAUUGAACCGCAUGGUUCAAUAGUGAAAGACGGUUUUGCUGUCACUUAUAGAUGGAUCCGCGCCGCAUUAGCUAGUUGGUAAGAUAACGGCUUACCAAGGCAACGAUGCGUAGCCGACCUGAGAGGGUGAUCGGCCACACUGGAACUGAGACACGGUCCAGACUCCUACGGGAGGCAGCAGUAGGGAAUCUUCCGCAAUGGGCGAAAGCCUGACGGAGCAACGCCGCGUGAGUGAUGAAGGUCUUCGGAUCGUAAAACUCUGUUAUUAGGGAAGAACAAAUGUGUAAGUAACUAUGCACGUCUUGACGGUACCUAAUCAGAAAGCCACGGCUAACUACGUG
rnacentral:rRNA from 1 species